AGCAGUAGCCGCGGUAAUACGGAGGGUGCAAGCGUUAAUCGGAAUUACUGGGCGUAAAGCGUGCGUAGGCGGUUCGUUAAGUCUGUUGUGAAAGCCCCGGGCUCAACCUGGGACCUGCAUUUGUGACUGUAUAGCUAGAGUACGGUAGAGGGGGAUGGAAUUCCGCGUGUAGCAGUGAAAUGCGUAGAUAUGCGGAGGAACACCGAUGGCGAAGGCAAUCCCCUGGACCUGUACUGACGCUCAUGCACGAAAGCGUGGGGAGCAAACAGGAUUAGAUACCCGUGUAGUCCCUGUCUCUUAUAC
rnacentral:rRNA from 1 species